GUUCUAGGCUUCUCUAACUAUGGUUCGAGGUCCGCUACUGGAUGAAGUACACCAACGGCUCAAUCCAUGGAUAUCUCAGAUUGGACCUAUACCUGUGGAUGAUAGCAUAGGAAAAGAAAUCACUACUCAAAUUACAACAGCCUUAAAGACUAAUGGAACAUUCUACACAGAUUCUAACGGACGUGACUUCAUUAAGAGGAUUAAUCUUGGAAUAUACAUGCAAGACAGUAUCUCAGAAUUGCCAAUGUUGGUUGACCGUUCAGUUGGGGGAUCCAGUUUAGUGGAUGGUCAGAUAGAGCUUAUGCUCCACAGCAAUCCUGGUCACCCAUUUGCUGCAGGUGUGACCUUGGAGAAACUCUUAGCUUCCUUCUGAGUGGGUCCAGAUUGAUGUAGGCAUUGGAUCUUCAUCAUUUGCAAAAUCACAGGGCCCGGAAUGACUCAUUGAUAGUGGAUGUUUUCCAGGGCCAAUAUAAGUCGACACUGGUUUGCCCAGCAUGUGGAAAGAUUUCAAUCACUUUUGAUCCCUUCAUGUAUUUGUCGUUGCCGCUACCUUCAACUGCAACUCGGCAAAUAACGGUGACUGUGUUUUACGGCGAUGGAAGUGGUCUUCCUAUGCUAUACACUGUUAGUUUGCUAAAGCAAGGUUGCUGUAAAGAUCUUAGUGAACAACUAAGUAAUGCUUGUUGCUUGAAUGCUGAUGAGAUUCUUCUGCUUGCAGAGGUUUAUGAACAUAAGAUUUUUCGAUAUUUGGAAAACCCCUCAGAGCUAUUGGCUCCAAUUAAGGAGGAUGACCACUUAUAGACUUUCUAAAAACGUCGUGGGAAGAUCCAGAGUUGAAAUAAUUCAUCGACCACAUGAAAAGUGCCCGUCAGACAGUGUUAAGGGUUGUCAGGGAAAGCUUAUCAGUACCCCUUUUGUUACUUAUUUAAAAGAGCCAAUAUGUGGAGCCAAUGUUGAAGCCGCUAUUACUAGAUUGUUGUCACCUUUGAAGAGAACGCGUCCUUCGGUUAAGCUCCAGAAUGGUAAGGAAAAUGGAUUUGAAAAAGAGGUUAUUGAAGAACCAUCAAACAGCUACAAUUCUAAGAA